ACGGGGACCCGCACAAGCGGUGGAUGAUGUGGAUUAAUUCGAUGCGACGCGAUUUACCUUACCUACCCUUGACAUGUCACUAACGAAGUAGAGAUACAUUAGGUGCUCGUAAGAGAAAGUGAACACAGGUGCUGCAUGGCUGUCGUCAGCUCGUGUCGUGAGAUGUUGGGUUAAGUCCCGCAACGAGCGCAACCCUUGUCUUUAGUUGCUACGCAAGAGCACUCUAAAGAGACUGCCGGUGACAAACCGGAGGAAGGUGGGGAUGACGUCAAGUCCUCAUGGCCCUUAUGGGUAGGGCUUCACACGUCAUACAAUGGUGCAUACAGAGGGUUGCCAACCCGCGAGGGGGAGCUAAUCUCAGAAAAUGCAUCGUAGUCCGGAUCGUAGUCUGCAACUCGACUACGUGAAGCUGGAAUCGCUAGUAAUCGCGGAUCAGAAUGUCGCGGUGAAUACGUUCCCGGGUCUUGUACACACCGCCCGUCAUACCAUGGGAGUGGGUUUUGCCAGAAGCCGUUAGCCUAACCG
rnacentral:rRNA from 1 species